UUAGUCUGCUGCCAAGGAGGCGGCAAAACACUGAUUUAAACGGAGUUUUAUGGGGAUCUGAAAUGCGUAUUCCCUCCAUUAAUGUCCCAUCUGGGGUCGGCCGUCAUUUGCUUACACCACCUCGGCCAGGCAGGCCGGUGGCUGCACCUGAAAAUGUGGCAGUGCCCAGAUUGGAUGGAAGCAAUUUUGCCAUUAGGGACGUGCUGAACGAGGAGAUGGAGGAGCUUACUCACAAUGAGGUGACGGGGGAGAACACCCAAGAUGACAGGCCUGGGCCACCACCUGCUGCCCCUUCAGCCAUUGAGGCCUUGCCAUCAGUAAGGCUGACACCCACCCAUUUGAGGAACGACCCUUGUUGCCCAGUUUGCAAGGAGGAAUACCGGGCUGGUGAGGAAGUGAGGGAGAUGCCCUGCAACCAUUUGUAUCACUCCGACUGCAUUGUUCCUUGGUUGAGAAUUCAUAACUCUUGCCCCGUUUGCCGCUAUGAGCUGCAAGCUUCCCCCAACCCUCAUGCUGUUCACAACACUAGAGCUGAAAAUUUUGAUGUUGAAGAGGUGACGAACCGCCUAGUCUGGCCAUGGAACCAAUGGUUCUCUAUGUGGCCGUUCCGUUCAUUGCCAAAUUGGAGGUACCCAGAUGGUCUUGAUUUCCAUUACAAUCGGCGUGGAGGUGAGACUCAAAAUCAUGCCUUUUUCUUCCUCAUUUUUCUGAAAAUCAUGAAAGAUUUUAAGUUUCUUUGCAAACAAAACCCCCUAUACCUCCUAACAAAUAAUGAACUGAAGUGUGCUGUUUCCUGUAGCUGGCACCUGGUGGCCUUCCUGGCUCAUUCUAUAGCAUGUAUAUGUAUGUUGCAGCAGCACAGUCCCUGUGGGGAAGCUGCUUAUAACAUUAGCUUUAUGAUUGAAUUGUUCCUUAGGCAGGUAAGUAUAUAUAUCCAAUAUAUGCUAAUUUCAAGGUUGCUCUGGUGGAAAGAUGUCGAGGAUUCGCAGGUACGUCCAUAGGCCUGUAUUUUCUAUAUAUGUAUAGUCAUUUUUUUCCCUCAUCGUUUCUCCAUUUCAAUCAUGCAGUUAGGUUUCAUAAGGGGGCAGUGUACAGUGCUUGAAGCUCCUAACUAUCCUGAAGUGUUUUUUCUUCUUUCUUUCAAAGUUUUCAACAUUAAAAAAAAAAAAAAAAAUGUAGUGUGAUCUCCUAGGUAUCGAAGCUAUACUAAAUGGGUGCACCAGAAUGCUGAUGCGUACAUGCAAUGAAAGGGGGUUUCAGCUCAAGCUCAAGCCUCUUUGGAUUCUGAAGAUGCCGAUGAAGUGAGCUAGCAGAAUUGGCUGAGCGAGGGAUUUGGAUGGAAGAAACUGCUGUGAACAUGAUGAUGAGCUAAAAUCUGACAAAAGAACCAUCUCUCCUGCAACGAAGUGAUGGAAACUAUCAACAAUGGCGAUAGAUGUGAUAUCAUCCAUGCUCAAUAAUUUGUUGUUACACCAGGAUCUUCAUUACCUAAGUUUGAGCAAAUCUAAAUUACUCGUUCAUUGUCUUUGUCUUUGGGGCAGAAUAAAUUGUAACUCCAAAACCCACAAUCUUGUGAUAGAUCCUACCUCAGUUUUUUUUCAUCUGUUGGUAACUCAAACGAGGAUAAGAAUAAAAUAAAAAAUUAUUUUAAUAGAAAGGAAAUCUCACUAAGAAAAGAUAUUUUGAUUUCUUUGCAAGUUAUUUUUUUUUAAAUAGUCUCUUCAGAAAAUAAAAAAUCCAAAACUUAUUUGGAUAAAUUGUUUUUAAAAAUAUUAUUUUAUUUUGAUUUUAUAGAAAAAUUAUAAAUUGAAUUUAUAUAAUAUAAACUAAAUUUAAUUCAAUUCUUAAAAAUAAAAAUGAUUUUACAAUUAUAAAUAAAUUAAAAAAUAAAUAGUUUUUAAUAAAAUAUGAAUAAAUUAUAAUUUUUAAAAAUAUUAUGAAAAUAUGGAUAUUAACAUCCUUAUAAAAACAUAAUUGAUUAAGUUUGUUAAAAACAAAUAAUAAUAAUAAUUAUAAUCUAAAAUUAAUAAUUACUAAUACUAUUUUAUUUUAAUUGAUUUUUAUUUUAAAUAAAGUAAACUUUUAUGAAAUAUAUGAAUCAUAUUUUUCAUUACAUGCAUAUAUUUAGUACUCAAUUAAGCAUAUAAUAUUUUAAAUUUUUUAUUUAAUCAAUAAUUAAUUAAUCAAAUUUUAAAAUUUUAAAUUAUUCUUAAAAAUUAAAAGAUUCAUUAAAGAGUUUAAAAAAUUAAUCAUCUAUCAUUUAAUUUAAAAUAUAAUUAUUUAGUGACAAAAUUUAGAAAAUAGUAGUAUAUAUAGGAAAAGUAGUAAAUCAUGAAUGCAUUAGAUUCAGUCUAUAUUUUUUAUAGUCCUCGUGUUUUUUUUUUUUUUUUUUUUUUGAAUUUGAGAUUAUUUUUAAAAAUUAUUAAUAAAUUUAAUAGGAAGUCUCAUUCGGUUUGAAAAAAUCGGAAAAAUGUUUUUCUAUAAAACAAGAAAAAGAAAAAAAAAAAAAAGUAAUCAUUCUAAACAAAUUUUUGUCCAUAAAUUUCUAUUAUUAUUUAUUGAGUCACUAUUUAAUUUUUAAAUUAUUUUUAAAAUUUAAGUUCCGCUUAAUUUAAAGUUUAUUUACUUAGUAAAAAAAUUUCACAAAAUUAUAAUUAUAAGUAAAGGAAAAACUAGCAAAUUCAUUCAAAAUGAAUUUAAGUAUGAGACUUUCUAGUAUUAAUUUGACCGAUAUAAAGUUCCAUGACUUUUUAAUACUAAUGAAUUGGUUUUUAUAUUUCAAAUUAUUUUAAAAAUUAAUAAUUUUUUAUUUUGAAUGUUGUUUGAUUUAGAAUCUACUUGUUUAAUAAAUAAAAAAUUAGAAAAGUUGAAAACAAAAAAAUAAAAAAACAUGUAUAUUUAAAGAAAAAUCAUAUUUAAAGAUUUUUUAUUUUGAUAUUGAAUAGUAAAGAGAAAAUAAAAUAAGAAAGAUAUCAUGUUCUAUUUUAUUUGCUUUUGUGAUUUUCAUUUUAUUUUUCUUAUUUCUUGAUCUUUUUCUUUAUAUUUAAAAAUUGAUAAAAAUAACUUUGGCUUGUUCUUUAAAAACUAUUCUCAUUUUUAAAUGUUGCUUUUAUAGAACAACCUAUAGAAUUUUAAAAACAAUUUUUUUUUUGGUUAAAAAUAAAACAUUGUUUUUAAAUUUUACUUUCAAACAAAUUUUUAUUAUUCAGAUAAAAAAAAACUCUCAAAUAUGUUUUUUAAAUAAAUUUUUAAAAAAAAUAUCUACAAAUAUUAUUAUCAAUUUAUUUCUUUUUUUAAUUGUCAUUUAUAUUCUUACCUAACACUUAAAUUCAUUCUUAUUCAAGGAAUAAUUUGAAUAAAAACAAAAUAUUUAUUUUUAUUUCUCAUUCCAAUGUAUCAAACAUUGCCUAAUGGGAAAAGACCAAAAGCUACUCCCUAAUAGAAAACCAAUUCCUAUUUCAAAUUAAGUUUCACAAAGUCCUAAAUUUCACACAAAAAAUACACUUGUGAAAGUAGCUCAAUUAUACCAAUUAAUCAAACAUAAUUUCAUAAUCAACCGAUGACUCCACCAAAAUCAAUUAAAUACACUCUUCUAAAGUUUUAUUAUUUCAUACAUUAUCUUUCUUAACUUUUUUUCAUGGUUAACAAUAGAAAGUCCUUCUUUAUUUACAUUGGUAAAGUGGGGAUUUAUAUUUAUCCAUCAUCGAGGAUAGAGGAAAAAAUAAAAUAAAAGAGAUAAUAGUAAGAACUAGGAAGUCUAGUCCCUAAUGGGAUGAGUUUGAAAUUUAAAUAAAUAAGCUUGAAAUGGAUUUAAGAUUUUUUUUUUUAAACCCAAGAUGAAUUUGGUAUGGGUUUGAGUAUUUUUUUAUCUUGUCCUAUCUUGCUCCGAUUAUAUAUAUAAUUAAUUUUAAAAAUUAAUUUAAUAUAAAAUUUAUUUUCCUAUUUUUAAUAUAUAAUAAUAAUAAAAUUAAAUAAUUUUCAAUAAAAUAAGUUAUAAAAAGUUAUAAUAUUUUAAUUAUUUAUAAAAUAUAUUUAUUUUAAUGUAAUUAAAAAAAGUUUAAAAUAUUUUUUUUUUUAAAAAUAAAAUAAAAUAAAACAAGGUGGAGUAGGUAUGGGAAAUUAGCAUAGUUGCCCCCAUCCCAUUUAUUUUUUUAAUGAGACUAAAAAAUGGAGAAACGGGAUUGGAAUGAGAUGACUCAUCUCAAACUCGCCUUGUUACCAUCCUAUAAAGAAGGAAUAUUAUUUGCACCUAUUUUAUCAAAAUAAUUUUUUACAAAAUUUCAAUUUGACAACAAAAAUUAUUUUUAUUUGCUUUUAUUAAAAAAAAUGAAUAUUUACAAUUUUAUUUACAAAAGUAUUUCAAUUUACUUUCAUUUAAGAAAAGUGAUUUUAUACAAAUUAUGUAAAAAAAAUAUAUAUAACUUCCUUUGCAAAAGAUUUUUUACUCAAAAAAAAAAAAAAAAACUACUUCUAUAGUUUUAUUUACAAAAAUAUUUAAAUUUAAUCCAACCUUAAAGAAAAUGAUUUACAACUUUAAUUUUAUAUAUAUAUAUAUAUAUAUAUAUAUAUAAAAUUAAAUCCUCUAUUUCUAAAAAUUACUUUACUUUUAAUCUCAUUUUAAUUAAGAAAAAAAUUAUUUAAAAAAACAUGUUUUGGACAAUUUUAUUAUAAAUUAAUUUUUGGGAUAACUUUAUUUACAAAACAAUUUUUAUUAAAUAAAUAAAUUUUCGGACAAUUAUUGUUAAAAACAUUUUUUUGAAUUUUAUUAAAAACUAUUUUUUAGAUUUUCUUAAAAACACUUUUAUGAAUUUUUAUUAAGAAAACUUACUUUUAUUAAAAAGAAUAUUUUAUGAAUUAUUUUCUAUACACAAUAAGUAAAUAAAUACAAAUAAAUAUUUACAAAAACCAAUAAAAAUCAAAUCAAAUAAAAGUAAGAAAUAAAAUGUGUACCCAAACAAGCUUAUAACAAGUUCAAUGUUUCAUUUAUAGUCUUCUUAAACGUCUUUUCCUUUCAUGAAAUUUUAUUCUCCAUGUGUCAUAAAUUCAUACUCAACCAAUAGAAUUACAGAAUGAACCUAUUAGUCUAACUAAUCCAAUCCAUGUUCAAUGCAAAAACAAAAAUAAUCCAAAAGUAAAUAUCCAGAAAUAUACAAAGUCUUUAAGUUCAAAUUCAAACUUCAAAUUAGUCUAACAAAUUUCACCAAUUAAAAUGGACCUAAAUUAGAAAAUUUAACCCAACAAAAAUAUCCCUCAUGCUAUAGGUCUUAACCCAAAAUUUUCAAAUUAAUAACCAAAAUACAAACAUAAUUAGUCAAGCCCAAAUGUAACAAAUUAAAUUAAACUCAAUUAGCUAUAAACUUAAUUUUCCGUAAUUCAAGCCUAAUUUAAUAUACAAACUCAAAUCCACAACCAAAAUCAAUUCAAUUGAAUAUGUAAAACCCAAAUAUAAUAAAAAUAUACUACAAUACUAUAUCAUGUUCAUAAUUAAAUAAUUUAAAUGAGUACAACCAUUUAAAUUAUCAACCAAUCCAGCUAAAAUUAGCAAAUUCUAAAUUAAUUCACCAAUAAUAAAUUAGCCCAAAUUUCAUAUUAUCACCCAUAACAAAUUAAUCCAAAUUCCAUAUUAAUUAACAAAAUCCAAAUUUCUUAUUAAUUCAACAAUUCAAAUCUCACAAACAAUAAUUACUAUUAAAAUCAAAUCAAGAAAAAAAAUAAAAAUAAUAAGAAAAAUAAAAUAAAAUAAAAUAAAGAAAUACAUAAAUGGCUUACACUUUUUUUUUCUUUUUUCUUGAAGAAUUUAUGGAUGGCUAGAAUUGUUAGUCGGUCGCGGCUGGCCAACAGUGGAGUUGAAGAGAGAAAGAAAGAAAAAAAAUGAAAAAGGAAAACAAAAUAAAAUGAAUAAUAAAAAGGGAAAAUGGGUGAGGUGAGAAAGUGAGAGAAGAGAAGGGGGGUUGCUGGAAAUGGCACCGACAUCACGCCAUCGACGACGACUUGUCGAUGGUCCUAUUGGCGAUGGUGAAAGGUGAUUGAUUUUUGGGAAACCAAAAUAAAAUAAAAGGAAAAAAAAUGAAGAGUAGCAAAAGAAAGAAUAAAUGAGAGCAAAAAAAAAAAAAAAAAAAAAAUGGGAGUAGAGGAGAGUGAGAGAAGGCCGUGGGGUGUGUCUUGGAAGUGGCAGUGUGGCUGCAAGGAAAAUGGAAGAGGAAUGAGAGAAGACCCCUGUUUAAGGAAAAAUUCUAGGUACCAUGGGCCUGUUUGGAAAGUGUUCUUAAAAAUUGUUUUUUGUUUUCUAGAACAGAUGAACACUUAAAACAUGUUUGGUAAGGAAGGAUGUUUUUGUUCUCCGUGUUUUCCAUGUUCUCAAAACCCUAUUUUCAGAUAAUAACUUCAAGUUGUUUUCCUUGUUUUUUACACCGCUUAGAGGAAAAAAGAGGUGGUUGUUCUCCGUGUUUUCAAAAGGGUGUUCUCAUUGUUCUUGUGUUUUCCCUUCUCAGGUUGAUGUUGCUAGGUUUGAAAACGUGUUAGACUUAACCCUCUAAAAUCAAACCCAAUUUGCUAGUUCUGAGAGUAGAGAAAAUAUAAUUUAAAGGCUUUCCCAUUGAAUUUUUCAUCCCUCGAUUGUAGCUACGGUAGCCAUAGCCACUACAAUCACAUGGUGUUUGCUCGGUGGCAGUAGCAAUGGAGACAUCAUCAUUCACUGGUGCAACACCACUGCCACCGCCGACACUGACAGAAGCAACCUUUCACUAGGUUUGUGGUGAUGCAGUUUCUUGGUUCGUGGGUUUCCAGAAGAUCCAUCACCAUUUCUCUCUCUUCCACGCAAAACCUAAAACACCACUAUUACAUCCAUCUACCCACCAAUUCAAACAAACCAAAAAACAGAAUAAAUUCAAAAUUUUCAAUAAGAGAAAAUCUCAAACCUUUUCUUCGUCUUUCUCCUAGUCAUGUUCCUCUCUUCUUCUGCCACCUCUCUUAUCAGUCUCUUUGGUAUGAGAUUUGAAAGCCCUUUUCACAACAAUCAACCAUGAGCUUCCUCCCUUACUUUUGAUUUGUUCUUUUAUUCAAAGAUGUUUUCUUAGUUGUACAUGGCAGAGUUAGGAGCUAGUUUCAACAACUCUAAUUUAUAGGAUCUUUGUAACGAACUUUUCUUACUCCUUUGUUUAUUUAUACGCUUUCUUUGAUCAAUGAAAUAUAGCAAUAAGAGUUCAAACUGUUUAAAGUCUAUGGUAUCAGAGCGUCUUUAAGAGAUAGCCAACCGAUUUUUUUUUCAAUAGUCAUGACAACUAGAUCAGCUCCCCCCACCAUUCAAAACACUAGUGACCCUCAGAACACCCUCAUCACCAUUAAUAUGGCUGCCCAAACUCCUCUUAAACUCACCUUCAGCAACUAUACCGGCCUCUUGGAAGUUGUAAUUUCACACUUUAUUCAUUGUUUAUGAUCUCAUCGUUUAUAUUGAUAGAUCAAAACCUUGUCUAGCAACCACCCUUAUCCACUACAACACCACCAUACCCAAUCCUGAUUACAUAUUCUGGAUUCACCAAGACCAUCUAAUCCUCAAUGCUCUCAUUGGUUCCCUCUCCCUUACCAUUAUCCCAUUUAUUGCUCAAGCCACCACUUCUCGUGAAGCAUGGAACAUUUUGGCCAACACGUAUGCCAAGCCAAGUCGUGGCCGCAUCAAACAGGUUAAAAUCUAGUUUAAAAAAAAAUCACAAAGGGUCUUUCCAGUGUGAGUGAAUUUUUGCAAGCAAUAAAGGCAUGAACUGAUGAACUAGCUCUUCUUGGAGCAUCCCUUGACACAGAGGACCUUAUAGAAACAAUACUCGUCGGACUCGGUGAUGACUAUAAGGAACUAGUUCGUGCUGUUCAAGCUAGAGAUACCUUCAUAACUUUGGACGAGCUUCAUGAAAAGUUACUCACCUUUGAAGCGUUUAUGCUUCUCACUAAACCCGAACCAUCCUAUUUUCAUGCUAUCGCACAUCCAACUAGCUGAAAUACCACAAACUGGCGACCCUCCCACAACCAUGCCUAUCGAUCCUCCCCAUCCACUAGUGGUGGACCAACAUCUUCUCCUGGCCAUCCACUUUCCCAUCCAUAUCUAGGCUACUGCCAAAUCUGCAAGAUACAAGGUCACACUGCCAAGCGAUGUCCCUUAUUCAAAUUGAUAUCCAUUCACUCGUCCACCAACUCCACUGCCCCAAUUAUUCCUUUUCCUACACCAUGGCAACCACAGGCCAAUUAUGCUGCUAGUUCUCCCAAUCCAUCAUGGCUCUUAGACAGUGGUGUCUCUCACCAUGUAACAUCUGAUCUCCAUAAUCUCUCACUGCAUACUCUAUACAAUGGCUCCGAUGACAUUAUGAUUGGAGAUGGCUUGGGUCCACCUAUUACUCACACUAGUUCUACCUCUCUCACCACUUCUACCAAGACUUUUCACUUAAACAAUGUUUUAUGUGUUUCUCAUAUGAAAAAAAAUCUCAUCUCAAUUUCUCAAUUUUGUAACACAAACAACGUUUCCAUUGAAUUCUUACCCUCUACUUUUCUUAUGAAGGACCUUCGCACGGGGACACCACUUCUAACAGGCAAAGCUAAAGAUGGUGUCUAUUAAUGGAUAGUAUCAUCUCCACUUCUUGCAUUUUCCAACAUUAAAACUUCUUCAUCCGAGUGGCACCAUCAAUUAGCUCAUCCAACUUUUUCCAUCCUGAAAUACAUUGUUUCCAGCAAUAACCUAGGUCUUGAAUCUUAUAUGUCACCAGAUUUUUCUUGUAAUGCUUGCCACAACAAUAAAAGUCAUAAAUUGUCAUUCUUCAAAUCCACACUUGUCUCUACUCAACCUUUUGAAACUAUUUUUUCAGACAUGUGGACUUCACCAAUAAUUUCAACAUAUGGUUUUAAAUACUAUGUAAUCUUUGUUGACCACUUUACUAGAUAUAUCUGGUGUUACCUUAUUAAGUAAAAAUAUGAAGUCAAGUGAUUCGUUCCCAAUUCUGAUCACAAGGCUCGGCAACGACGCCAUUUGAUUCGUUCCCAGCAACAACGUCAUUUGAUUCGUGCCCACUUGGUGUCUCAGCUGAUUCAUGUCCAACUGGUGCUCCUUGAUUGCGGAAGUAAUCAACAAAAUUUAUAACCUAUUACACCAUGAACUAGGGUAGCAAAGACAAAGCUACUAUAGCAUAAUGGCUCUAGGAUCUUUAACUGGGAUGGGUUUUCACUUCACAAUUGAUAUUAAUUCAAAGCUGAAUUGGUGUCUUUUCAUUUCAAGGUUAGCUUUAAAAGAAAACAUAAUCUUUGGCGGAAAAGGUUUGGUUUUAAACUAACCAAAAAUAGUAACUGAUUUUACUUACAAAGAAAAGUGUUUCUUGGAGUUUAGAUCACUGGGCUCAGAUUCCUUAUACAAAAAGGAGAGUUCCGGUCACUUGUUUAUUUUCCUCGCAUUGGGGAUUUAACAUAUAGUUAUUUCCUGAACCGGUGUGGUACAGAUGCUUCCCUUUAAUGGGUUCAAACACUAAAUCCCUCUCACUAAUGCAUCUUGCAAUGGCUCAUACCUCUCACCUAGCACUUGCCAUUCAGGGUGAUCUUUAACCUUGGAUUAUCCGUCAAAAGUUCGCAAGAGAUAACUAAUGGAUGUCUCCUUAGAGUCCAAAAGCUUACCAAGUGUUGGCUAUUCUAGAAAAUCCUACCUUCAAACCACCUCCCAAAGGCUCGCAAGAGAUAAACUAGUGUAUCUCAAUGGAUGGAGACCACUUGCCUUAUCAAGUGUUGGCCCAGGUGAAUUAAAGGCGUUUUAAGUUAACUAAAAAGAUAAAAACCAUUAACGGGUCACACUUUCUCUUCAUUAAAAACUAAAACAACAAAACUUCCAAUUUAUGCAUGUGGAAAUUUACCCAGCUUUCUUCACUCCAAGAGACGAAGAGCCUAGCCUCUCAUCAUCUGAGGAAAAAUCCUCAGAGUUUGAUUGGCUAGAAAGUAAAAUAACAAGAAAACAAAAAUAUGAAAAGCAGAGCAAGUGCUCUGUAUUAUACUUCCUUACAAAACUGUACAAAGGAUGCGUCUCUGAGAACAAGCUCUCAGAUUACAUCUAUGAUCGAUAUAUGAUCGAUCUCUCUCUAUAAAGGAAAUUACAAAGCUAUAUAUAAGGGGUUAUUCACCCUUUUUCCAAACUUAAUAACUAAGGAAUCCUAUAAUUGGUGGGUUGCAAGGAGAGUUUGGGGAUUUCGACAUCAAAUAUCUAAAGCAAAAUAUCUCCAAAUGUCGGUCGCAAAUAUCUGGAAGCUUCAGGAGAACACCGCGACACUGUGCAAAAUAUCUGCGAAACUUUCCGGGUAAGCGCUAUUAGAUGAUCCGGAUAUGUGUGACCGGGGAAGUUGAAACGCUCUCCUCUCCCAUCCGGCGUCAAAAUUCCGGAUGUGAAACAUCUGGGUGAAAUGGCGGUGGCAGCAGAAUUCCGGAUGUGAUACAUUCGGGGUGGAAAGUGGCGGCAGCCGGAUGGAAUUCUUACCCGGGUGGAAUGAGCUAUGAUUCCCGUCCGGGUGGAAUAAGCAGGAUCCCAUACUCCUUGUAUUCUGGAUUUGCUUAUGGAUUCCAAAGAACUCUCCUCAAUCUCGGAUUGCUUUGGUGAUCAAAAAGCUAUCAAAACACCAAAACUUAACACAAUUUGAUUAGAAUUGAUUGCAAGGGUCCUUAAUAUGUUAAUUGGGUUAAAAGGUAAUAACUACUACUCAAAAGUGUUUAAAAGAAUUAAUUACAAGCUAUGAAAUAGCACUUUUUGAGUAGUAAUCAUCAAGUCUGUUUUUAUUAAAUUUAAAAUCAUUGUUGAAAAGUAUUUUGACAAAAAAAAAUAAAAAUAAAAACACUCUACUCUGAUAAUGGUGGUGAAUACAUAGCUCUUGCCCAUUUCCUAACUACUCAUGGAGUUUCUCAUCUCACUACUCCCCCUCACACCCUUGAACACAAUGGAUUUUCCGAAAGAAAACAUCGUCACAUUAUUGAAAUAGGCUUAGCCUUACUCUCUUAUGCCCCCAUUCCUCUCACUUACUGGCCCUAUGCUUUUGCCACAACAGUUUACCUCAUUAAUUGUAUGCCAACCCCAACCCUCAAUCUUUUCUUUCCAUAUGAAAAUAUUUUUGGGACUACCCCUAACUAUUCCUAACUAAAAAUAUUUGGUCGUCUUUGUUACCCUUGGCUUCGACCCUAUACAACUCACAAACUAGAUUCUCAUUCCAAACCUUGUGUCUUUCUAGGAUAUUCUCUAACUCAAAGUGCCUACUAUUGUAUUGAUGCCACAACUUCUAAAAUCUAUGUCUCUCGCCAUGUCCAGUUUGUUGAAUCUUUGUUUCAUUUCACUCAUCUCUCACAACACUUACCUCGUCCCUAAUCCACUACUAUUGUCACUUGGUUUUCCCCACCAAUUUGUGUCACCUCACCAUAUCUCUUCCCACCACUCAAUUCCCCAUCUGCAGUAGCUACUCCUCAGCAGUCCCUUAGUGAUGCCCCAUCACCAACUUUCUUUCCAAACCUCUUACCUGAACCUGUUGCUCAACACCCUUUAGAAUGGCUUCCACCACCAACUAAUCCACUAGUUACUCAUUGAAUGAUCACCCGAGCUAAGAACAACAUUCACAAACCCCUCCAUAAAAUGAACUUGCACAUUCAAUUGACCAAAUCCCAUGAUCUUGAACCCACCAUGAUGACCCAAGCUCUUAAAGAUCCUCAAUGGCGUCGGGCUAUGUCAGAGGAGCAUGAUGCAUUAGUCAAGAAUUGGACAUGGGCGUUGAUACCACCUGAUCCAAGUCACAACCUUAUUGGUUAUACAUGGAUUUUUAGAACUAAAUGCAAGUCUGAUGGUUCUAUUGACUGGUUCAAGGCUCGUUUAGUUGCAAAGGGUUUUCACCAACGAUCUGGAAUAAACUACACUGACACAUUCAGCCCUAUAGUCAAACCAACAACCAUUCUUGUUGUACUUAGUCUUGUUGUCAAUCGUGGUUGGUCCUUAAGGCAACUUGAUGUCAACAAUGCUUUCCUUCAAGGUAAUCUCUUCGAAAAUGUCUACAUGUCCCAACCACAAGGUUUUGUUGAUCAAGACCACCCAAUACAUAUAUGUAGGCUUAUAAAACCCAUCUAUGGCUUGAAACAAGCUCCUCGGGCAUGGUAUCAACAACUUCACACUUUUCUUCUUUCCUUUGGUUUUAAGAAUUCCUAUGCUGAUGCUUCUCUCUUUGUCUUCAAUAUUGAUGAUCAUAUUCUCUACUUUCUUGUUUACGUUGAUGACAUAAUCAUUACGGGUAAUAAUCCUGCCAUGGUGGAUCGAUUUGUGAUUGUUGUUGCUUAACAGUUUUCUCUUAAGGAUCUUGGGUUGUUAACUUAUUUCUUGGGUAUAGGGGUUGUCCCCAACACGCAUGGUGUGCUACUCUCUCAAAAACAUUAUAUUCAAGACCUCUUAACACAAGCUCAGAUACAUGAAGCCAAACCUGUUCUUGCUUCUAUGCCAACAAGUCCUUCUCUUUCAUUACACUUGGGUUCUUCUUUAUCCAAUCCCUCUCAGUAUAGAACAGUGGUGGGCAGCCUACAAUAUUUACUCAUUACCGGGCCUGACAUUGCCUUUGCAGUUAACAAGUUGUCCCAGUACAUGCAUUGUCCCACAAUUGAGCAUUGGUAUUUUGUCAAACACCUUUUAUGUUAUCUGGUUGGAACCAUUAAUGAUGGCCUACAAAUUUUUCAUGAGUCUUCUCUUAGUUUGCAUGUUUUUUCUGAUGCUGAUUGGGCAGAGGACAAAGACACAUUUUCAUCCACAAGUGCUUAUGUUGUCUAUCUUGGUAAAACUCUUGUGUCUUGGAGUUCUAAAAAGCAAUGGACUGUUGCUAGAUCUUCUACUGAGGCAGAGUAUCGACCAAUUGCUAAUACUACUAUUGAAAUCCAAUGGAUCUGCUAUCUACUUUCUAAUCUUGGCGUUAUGCCUCCCUACUGUCUAGUCAUCUAUUGUGAUAACAAUGAGGCCAAUCAAUUAUGUUCAAAUCCAGUUUUUCAUUCAUGAAUGAAGCAUGUUGCCAUUGAAUUUCAUUUUUCAAGUUCAAAAUAAUGCUCUUCGUGUUGCUCAUAUUUCUUCAACUGAUCAAAUCGCCGAUGCCCUCACAAAGCCCCUUCCUCGCCAACGGUUUCUUCAUCUCAAGUUCAAGAUUGGACUUCUUUCCCGAGCUCCAUCUUGAGAGGGCAUACUAAUGAAUUAACUUAUCUCCUUAGUCUUAGAAACUUACUUUUGAUUUAUUCUUUUAUUCAAAGAUGUUUUCUUAGUUGUACAUGGUAGAGUUAGGAGUUAGUUCACACUUCUCUUACUCCUUUGUUGUAUUUAUACGUUUUUUUUUUUAUAGCAAUAAGAGUUCAAACUCUUCAAAGUCUAACAUACCUAGCCGCAUUUACAAUAGCCCUGCUAAACCCAACUCCACAAAACAAGAAGCAGGAGUAUAAUUUCAAUGAUGUUUUGACCGAAAACAUGUAUUAGUGUAAUCCAUUUAUGAUUAAAAUAAAUAUUUUAAAAAUGAUUAAGAAGUUUAUCAUCUAUGUGAAUAAAAAUAUUAUUAAAAUUAAAUAUAAUUAUAAAUGUUUACAAAGUAAUUAUUUAAAAAAAAUUAUAAUGGAUGUAAAAUUUUUUAAAUGGAAUAAUUUUUUAAUUUAAAUGAAGUGUGAAUUCAAAAAUUAUUUAUAUAUUUACAAUAUCAAGUUAAUGGAAGAAAACACUUAUUAAUAAAUAAAUAAAAAAUAAUUUCAAACAUGUUUUUUAUUUUACUUAUUUUUAAAAACUUUUUUAUUAAUGCAACCAAACAUGCUUUUUUUUAAAAAAUAUAUAUAUAUUUAUUUUAAAAAAUAAUUUAUUAAAAAGAAAAACUUAAUUUAUUAAAAAGGGAAAUUCGAUUUUAUUAAAAAAAAUAUUUCUUUUUUGCUUUUCCAUUUUAUCCUAAAAUUUUUUUUUUCUACUUUUAUUAAAAGAAAAAAAAACAGUUUUUCAAUUUUUAUUUAGAAGAGUUUUAUUUUUAUUUUUUAUUUUUAAAAGUUUCUAAUAUUUAUUUAUUUAUUUCAAAUUUCUUGUCUCCCAGCAGCCUUUAACCUUUUGGUAUAUUACUUUGGGAAUGAGCCCCCUUUCUAUGUACAAUAUGCAAAGGUAGACACAGUUUUAUAGCAGGACGAGACAUUAGAGUGUAUGAUAAAUUUUUUUUUUUUACUUAAUAACUUAAGUUGGUUUUUAAGUUAAGUUAUAUUUAAAUUAUUGUUUCAAAACUUAUUACUUAAUUAUUACUUUAAAUAUUAAGAUUGUUUGAUAAAAUUAACUUAAAUUUUAUUCUAAAUCAUCAAAUUGACAUAUUUACUUUCAUAAAUUAUAAUUAGACAAAAAAAUAUCAAGUAAUAAUGGAAAUCAUGAAAUAGCAAAAGAGAUCGUAAAUGUAAUUAGGGAAAUGAUGGUAAAAAUGUUAAAUGAAGACAUGAAUUUAAGAAUAAGUUAAUUAUUUAUAUUUAUUACUUAAAGUGAUUUUAAGUUAUUAAGUUGAUUUAUCAAAUAGUUAUUUAAUAUGAUUUAAUGAUAUUGAUAAAAAAAUAAAAAAAUAAAAAUAUUUAAGGAUAAGAAAGAAAAGAUUUUAAAUUCUAAUUAAUUUCUUUUUUUUUUUAAUUUUAUCAUGCAUCUAUAUUUAUUUUUUCGAUCUGUUUUAUUGCAUUCCUUAAGUUGGAAGCAACAUAUAAAAACAUUGAACUUGAACUUCUUAGUUAUUAGAACCAAUAAGAACACAUCAAAUAGUGUUGUGAAUUGAUUCAGGUGUUAGAUGUGUGUGGUGAAAUCUUGGUCAUCGGGUGAUGAUACAAACUAAUAAAAUCAAGAUAUAAACAAAUUGGAUCAAAUAUAAAUAAAUGAGAUGAAAAUACAAAAUAAUGAAAGAAACUUUAAUACAAGACUAAGAGACUUCAAACGUACAUGUCUGUGAUUGGUCACUAAUGAGUCGAUGGUACAACUUAGUAUGCACGAUUUGACCUACCUCAGCGCUAAUUCAAAUUCUCAUAUGCAAUCAAUUAAAACCCUAGAAUCACUUCUCCACUCAUCCCUUCCUUUGUGAAAAGGUGAGAAGAUUGAGGAUGGAAAUGAGAUGUACAAGCAAAAUCAAUCACAUGUUUUAGACUCAAGAUUUGGAAUCCCUUUCCGUACCUCCUCAAGCCAUUCCUUUCUCUCCUCUAUCUUCAUCAAACCUCAUAUAAAACCACCUACUUUCCUUCAUUCAUAACCCACCAAGAAAUCAAAAACCCAACUCCAUCCACUCCAAAGCUCCCAAUCCAUGUCCUUGGACCGUCGUCCUCGCGUAAUAGUCCACCAUGGUACCCGAAGAAUGAGAACCUACCAUUACUACUGGUGCCAGCAUUGCCAAAGAACAGUAAGGAUUGCAUCCGGGAACCUAUCAGAAAUUCUUCUAUGUCCUUUUUGCUCAUGCAGACUCCAGUAUGAGUUCCAUGCACCGAGGCAAAGGCUUGUCCCCACUUUUACAGGCCUAGGAGUCCUGGCAGCUGAGCUGUUGGAGGAUAUGGAUGUUAUUCUGCUCCCAAGGAGGCCGCAAACCACUGGUUUAAAUGGAGUUUUAUGGGGAACUGAAAUGCGUAUUCCCUCCAUUAAUGUCCCAUCUAGGGUCGGCCGUCAUUUGCGUAGACCACCUAGGCCACGUAGGCCGGUGGCUGCACCUGAAAAUGUGGCGGCGCCCAGAGUGGGUGGAAGCAAUUUUACCAUGAGGGACGUGCUGAACGAGGCGAUGGAGGAGCUUACUCACAAUGAGGUGACGGGGGAGAACACCCAAAAUGACAGGCCUGGGCCACCACCUGCUGCCCCUUCAGCCAUUGAGGCCUUGCCAUCAGUAAGGCUGACACCCACCCAUUUGAGGAAUGACCCUUGUUGCCCAGUUUGCAAGGAGGAAUACCAGG
rnacentral:lncRNA from 1 species